UACGUAGGGGGCGAGCGUUGUCCGGAGUUACUGGGCGUAAAGCGCGCGUAGGCGGUCGAUCAAGUCUGGAGUGACAGUUCCCGGCUCACCUGGGAAAGGUCUUCGGAAACUGGUCGACUUGAGGGACUCAGAGGGAGACGGAAUUCCAGGUGGAGCGGUGAAAUGCGUAGAGAUCUGGAGGAACACCAAAGGCGAAGGCAGUCUCCUGGGAGUCACCUGACGCUCAGGCGCGAAAGCCAGGGGAGCGAACGGG
rnacentral:rRNA from 1 species